AACGAGGGUCGGGCACAAGUUGGGGCCAAUCUCUCUCAACUUUCUGUUUUGAACUUGCUGGAACGUUCUGCAUGUUGCAGCGUGCCACUGCUCUGCCUUAUCACUGCUCUGCUACUUUAGGAUGCAUAAUCUUUCUGUGUGACCAGAGAGGUGUGGGAGAGGAAAGUCCCAUGAACUUGAAGUGAAAAGGGUAAGCUGCAGCUGUAUCUGCACAUUUAAACGUUAAACAUUUUCUAGCCUCUAGGACCGUAAUCCUAGAGUGUAAACGCAUUGAAGGAAAUUGGAUGAUACUCAGAAAUCUGAUUUGAAUUUAAAUACUAAUUCCUCUGUGUGUGUGUGUGUCUAAUUGGAGACUGAUGACAAUACCGUUGCUUUUUCUUCCAUAGAAGAACCCUGUAAAGGAUUUCUGAUCAAAAUGCAAAAAUGAUGAUCCAGACCUUUUUAUUCCAUGCUUUUGUGAGUUGUAAAACUGCUAUAGUUUUUGGUCGGAGUCAUUAAUAAAGGGCACCUGUGCUAGCCUUAAUUCAAUUGGGGUUUGUGGCUGCUCCACUUCAGGAAUUUUGUGGUAUUAGCUUUAUUUGUGCAUCAGGGCACAGAACCCAGAGGACCGGAACACAGUUCGCUGGCUUCAAAUUGACUUCACUUCCAAUACUGUGUCCUAACUGUUACUCACAGAAUUCCUGGAAAAGAUCCAAGUGCUUGUUGAGAGUAAAGUCACAACUGGAAGUUUUUCCAUUAAUUCGAAACUUGGGGUGCCCCAGGUUACUGGAGGCUUCUUGGAAUACACAGUGAUGGCUGGUGCCAAUUGGGAAUGGGCAGCAGGCCAGGAGGCCAACAGCAGGGUAGAGCUAGAGCCAAUGACAGAUAGAGCCAACUAAUUUAAGUUUUAUCCUCAUCCUCCAUCUUUCUUUUCUUCAAAUGCUUUCCCUGGGGAAACCCACUGUUUGCUUGAUGUUUGUUCCAUUCAGCCAUAAACAGUGGAUUUUCCCUGGGGAAAGUAGUGGACGCGUGCCUAGAAAUCAUGGGAUAAUAAUAAUAAUAAUAAUAAUAAUUUAUUAUUUAUACCCCACCCGGCUGGGUUUCCCUGGAGCUAAGGGACUAAGGAGCAGGAGGAAGAUGACAGGUAGUGCUGCCCCCUAGACUAGUUGCAAGUAAAAAAAAUCAGGCAGGUGGGGUGCAGGCUGAGAUGGAUGUUGAUGGGGCAAUGCCCCAUUUGUCUUAAUGGUCCAGGCUUCACUGGGAAUAUGUAAUAUUUGUGAUUAUUUUCAAAUAUAUACCGUAUUUUUCGCUCUAUAAGACACACUUUUCCCCUCCUAAAAAGUAAGGGGAAAUGUGUGUGCGUCUUAUGGAGGGAAUGCAGGCUGCGCAGCUUUCACUAAAGCCAGGAGAGCAAGAGGGAUCAGUGCGCACUGAUCCCUCUUGCUCUCCUGGCUUCACUUCGCUGGAGAGGCUCUGCGCAGCUUUCCCUCUUUGCGCAGCGCCCCUUCAGUGAAGCGGCAGGAAAAACGGAGCCCCUUCCAUUGCUCCUCCCACUUUGCUGGAGAGGAGCUGAGCAGAGAGGGAGAGAAUUUUUUUUUCUUGUUCUCCUCCUCUAAAACUAGGUGCGUCUUAUGGUCGGGUGCAUCUUACAGAGCGAAAAAUACGAUAGGUUGAGCCUAGGUGGAAACACGGCUUACAGACUCUAACAGACAGCUAAAGUCCACUGUUCUGGCAUCAGAUCUCCAGGGAGACACAGUGGGCACCCGGAGAUCUCUACUAAACUCAGUUUGUUGUUGAUGUGUCUCAUUCAAACAGCAAUCUUCUUAGUUUCCUCUCUCACACAGUUACCGUACCUUCCUGCACCCAACCCACACCGCCUACUAGAGGGUAUUGGAAAGUGGAUGAGUCACUUCAUCAAACUAUCACUUAAUCUUCUUGGACCUUCUUAGGUUUUCCAUGAAAAACUGCCUCCUAAAUAUCAGGGCCAUCAACACGUUUUUGGGUCAAAUUUAAGGUCCUGCAAACACCAUACAUGUAAUGUACUUUUAUAGCACAUGACUCCCUCCCCCAAAGAAUCCUGGGAACUGUAGUUGAUCCUUCCUAGCACCUUUAACAAGCUACAGUUCCUGGAAUCCUUUGGGGGGGGGGAGUCAUGUUUGGGGAAUCAAAACUGGAUUGUGAACUUCAUCACAGCAGCCUUAAUGUGUGUGCCAAAGUGAUCAAGUCUGAGACCCAGAAUCUUUAUUUGCAAGGGGAUGGAAAACAACCAUUAAAGUUCAAAAGCUCUAUUUACUAACCAAACUUUUACACAGCUAGGGCAUCCUCUCUCUUAUGGAGAGCUUAUGGCAUGGUUUGCAGGAACAGGGCAGUAAGCAAUUUUUGGUGAUUCCCCAUCCCACUUAAAUCUGCUCUAGGGGGUUGGAAGGGUGGUUGCAGGGGAAAUCACUGAAAUUGCUUCCUUUAAUGGUCCACUAACAGAAGCCAUACCACUAGCUGAGCUUUACUAUUGAACACAACCCAUUGGGACUUACUUCUAUAGUCUUAAAAUCAGCAGUUUUAGUUACCGGUAUCUGGUGAAUUUGAUUUUAGGUGUGUCUCUGCCAGAAAUUCUUAUGCUGCAAUUGUUUUUAUGAUAGAAAAACUAUGUUAUGGGGCAGCCAAUAUAAAUAUAAAUAUAAAUAUAAAUAUAAAUAUAAAUAUAAAUAAAUAUAAAUAUAAAUAUAAAUAUAAAUAUAAAUAUAAAUAUAAAUACUGUAUAGGCAAGUGAAUAAAUAUGCCAAUAUAUAAAUACACGUGUUGGAAUGAUGGUUUUGCAAAUGAUUAAUGAGUUAAAAAGCAGGUGGUUAGUCAAUUACAGUGGUACCUCAGGUUAAGUAUUUAAUUCGUUCUGGAGGUCCAUUCUUAACCUGAAACUGUUCUUAACCUGAAGCACCACUUUAGCUAAUGGGGCCUCCUGCUGCCGCUGAGCCGCUGCUGCACGAUUUCUAUUCUCAUCCUGAAGCAAAGUUCUUAACCCGAGGUAAUAUUUCUGGGUUAGUGGAGUCUGUAACCUGAAGCUUAUGUAACCUGAAGCAUAUGUAACCCGAGGUACCACUGUACAAAUUAUCUAAUUGCUUGACAGACUCAGUUGUCAUGAGACAGUUGCUAGAGAUUGUUUUUAUAAUAUAAACAGCUGCUCAAGUAAAGGUACAGUUUGGUACUAUUCUCAAUUCUUAUUUUCAGUUGAAGCUCAAUUCUAGGAAUGAAAUAGUUCUUUAUUAGCAUGAAUGAGUCUCUCCCAUGACCUCCUCACCUUUUAAAAAAAUGCUUUUGCCGUCUGAAAUUAGUAAGGCUAUGCAAUAGAUAUAGAUAUGGUAUUUCGCAUACGAUCAGUUCUGAUUUAUGGCAUUUGCACGGGAGAGUGACAUCACUGAGAGGAGAAAUAUGCACUUGGAAGAGGCUCCCCAAGAAACAAAUUAAAUGCUCAUUGGGAAAGCUGAGCACAUUUUGAAACUGGUGCACUUCUCAAGUUCACCUUUAACUAAUGAACAUGUUCUCACACAAAGCUGCCUGUCAUAAGUGAGAUUAACUGAGAAUACUUUAGAAUGCCACUAUUUCGCUGGAAUUCAUAGCAUGACAGCGGAACAAUUCCUUCCUUUUAUAUAAUGCCUUUCAUUAAAUGUCAAAGAGCCGAUGUUGGGAGAAAUUGGGACGGCAGUGGGGGGGGCAUGGGCAAUAAGAGAGCCAGAGAGAUGGAUUUACAUUCUCAUUGCUACUGAUCUUAAAAGGUGCAAAUGAGUUCCACAAAUGAGCAACACCAGCCUGGGAAAGAAAAACUCCCUGAGGAGUUCAUCCUGAAAGAAAAAAGCAAUGAAAUAAAGGAAAGAGCUUUGCAUAAUUUUGUUCUGUAUGAACUCGGAAUCUGACAAGUUGCUGACCACAUGCAAAUGACUUCGGCUCUGAUGUCGUCCUUUGAGUGCACACAUGAAUCACAUCGAAAAGGGUGGCAUGAGCAAUUGCUUUGCCAAAAUCUGAAACAAAUCAGCACUCCAGCCUAUUUAUUAUCAGGGAUAUAAAGUCAUCCGUUUCAUCAGUAGAGCUAAAAGGUAAAGGACCCCUGGAUGGUUAAGUCCAGUCAAAGGCGACUACGGUGUUGCGGUGCUCAUCUCGCUUUCAGGUUGAGGGAGCCGGUGUUUGUCCACAGACAGCUUUCCAGGUCAUGUGGCCAGCAUGACUAAAACGUUUCUGGCGCAACGGGACACAGUGACGGAAACCAGAGCGCACAGAAAUGCCGGCUACCUUCCCACUGCAGUGGUAUCUAUUUAUCUACUCACACUGGUGUGCUUUUUUUUUUUUUUUUUAAAUAUUUUUUAUUGCAUUUUUCCAGAUAGAAAUACAAGGUCAGAUAUACAAAGAAAUAACAGAAAAAAGAAAGAAAAAGAAGAAAAUCAUCUUUUCAAAGCAUUUUUCCAUAACCAACCGGACUUCCCC